GACGAACGCUGGCGGCGUGCUUAACACAUGCAAGUCGAACGGAAAGGCCCUGCUUUUGUGGGGUGCUCGAGUGGCGAACGGGUGAGUAACACGUGAGUAACCUGCCCUUGACUUUGGGAUAACUUCAGGAAACUGGGGCUAAUACCGGAUAGGAGCUCCUGCUGCAUGGUGGGGGUUGGAAAGUUUCGGCGGUUGGGGAUGGACUCGCGGCUUAUCAGCUUGUUGGUGGGGUAGUGGCUUACCAAGGCUUUGACGGGUAGCCGGCCUGAGAGGGUGACCGGCCACAUUGGGACUGCGAUACGGCCCAGACUCCUACGGGGGGCAGCAGUGGUGAAUAUUGCACAAUGGGCGGAAGCCUGAUGCAGCAACGCCGCGUGCGGGAUGACGGCCUUCGGGUUGUAAACCGCUUUCGCCUGUGACGAAGCGUGAGUGACGGUAAUGGGUAAAGAAGCACCGGCUAACUACGUG
rnacentral:rRNA from 1 species